rnacentral:lncRNA from 1 species
UGGAAAGGAAUAUUUAAAUCUCCGAAAUGCAAGAGGAUCAUCAGCAAGAAAAUCAUUUCUAAAAGACCUUCCAUUCACAUUUUCGUGACGGGCUCUCAAUCAGCAGGAUAAUCACACCAAGCAACUUAAAAUGAGACAUCAAAAGCAUUUAACCAUCAAGCAAAUCAUAUGCUGCUUAUCACUCUACAGGCCAGGGUGCCUGGAGCAGCCUAACAUGCCUAUCGAAAAAAUUUCAAUAGUUCAUAUAAACCUUUAUACUAAUCAUGCCUCCUACCCCAAGUUUAUAGAGCUAGUCCAGUCAACCAAUACACCAAUGGAGCAGAUUAUUGAACAUUUGGUUAUGAAGUGCUAGGGAAUGCAUUUGAGCACUUCUGAUACAUUCACCUUCAGCUAAAGACAGCCCAAUACACUGACAGACACAGUUCUAAUGACAUCAGGACCUGUGGAAUGUAUGACUGCUAGGAAACACAUGCUGCUAGGAAACAAAGAACAGAUCUGAUCAAAUCUUCUAACAAUAAGGAUUGGGAAUCACUGUGACUAGAUCUUCUAAAAUAAGAAGGCAAGUAUUCUUUAAUCUUCAGAUAUACUGCAAGUACAAAGAUUUUAACACACACCCUCUGGAAAGGGAAGAAACAAAGCUAGAUUCUCAAGGGUAAAAUCACAAUUCCCCAAGUUUUCUAUUAAGAUGACUGCCACUAGCACUAUCCCAUAAAAUGUAACAAUCAAAAUCAGGCAUCAAUGAUUGAGUAUUUUUUUGGCAAUCUAAGCUUUUUCAAUAAGUCAAGAUCUUAAAAUUGAAAGAAAUGUAGAAUUCAUGGCACCCAGAAACAAAGUACCCUUUUACAUUUACAGUGAUAUACUUUUUUCAACAACAACAACAAAAAUAGCCAUUUGCAAAAAACACUAAAGCAGUCAGAGCUAAUCUUCAGUUAAGGAAUUUAAUGUCUUUUUAAUUAUUAAAACUGAAAAGCAAUUUAGUUUUCCAACUUUUUAAAGCUGUUUAUCUUUGUACAUUUUUAACCCUUGGUUACCAAAAGAAAAAAGAAAAAAUUGAAUGAAACAAAGGUGAGAGAGAUUUCAAUACAAAUAUCCUUUUAACUUUUACACAAAUUAUGUGGAAAUCUCUUUUGCUGACACUAAAAAAGAGCUGACAACUCUGUCUGUAAUCCACGGACCAACAAACUGGGCUCCAGAAUGCCAGGCCACUGAGUACCAUUACAGACUAUCAAAUACACCAGGGAAAUCUAGAUGAAUUCUAUUUACUCUCAUAACGAAAUAAAGUGCAUUCUCCAAAUGAAAAAUUACUAAAGAACUGUUUCUUGUAGAUUCUGCAAUGACAUUCUUUAGUAUUGAUAGUCCACAUGACGCUAAAUUAGCAGACCGCCUAUUUACUUCAGAGCAAAACACAUAAGGUAAUUUUUCCUUCCUGCCAGAGUCGAUGUGUCUCCUCAUUUCCCCAGCAGCUGGCUGAAAGGAUGUAGAAUCAGAGGUGCAAGAAGGCUUAUACUUCCUCAUGAGUAAUCCACCCAGGAAAGUAAACACAACAGACAUCACCAGGUUCGGCCCUAAAGGAGACUGUGGCAGGGCUGCUUACACCGUUGUUUACAAUGUGCUCUAACUACCGCAGGCAGAAUCACACACAGGCACAGGGAGGAGACACCCAGAGGUGGCUCGCACGCCUCGAGUUAGCCCAAUUGCUAUGAUAUCUCUGGCCAUAAAUAAAGUAACGCACGUUUCUAUCGGAAAGUGGCCAAAGAAUUCCAGAGACCAGAGCUUAUGCUGACUUGACUUUGUUAUUUCAAUCUGCCCAAGAGAAGACUCUAUCCCUUGGUCCUCAUCAGGGGCAAUUAUGGGUGCAUCGUACGCUGCACCAGAGACUCACGCGCCGCACGCAUCUCGCGGAGGUGCUCACUACGGGAGAGGGGACACAGUGAGGCUUCCUCAUAACCUCUAUCGCGCUCCCGGGCCUCCUCAAACCAGGUUUUCCAGUUAAGCGGAUCCCAAGCGAUUUUGAUAAGCAAGCUCAGCUCAAGUAGCAUCAGCUGUGCCAUCCCCGCAAAUAUCUCUGGGCCACCCCCCGGGCGCACGAACGCGCACACACAGACACUCACACGCCAAUCCCGCUGCCAACUAACCCUGGUAGCAGAGGUUCCGCCUCCUGCAUACACACCCACCCACCUAUAACUGCUAGGGGGCCUGACGCGUUUAACCCCCAAGCUCCGACCUGGGACCGCCGGCUGGCGCGCGGCGGCACCGACACUUCGCUGCAGCCCGGAUCCUCCCCUUCUCCCUGAGAAGAAUAAAUUACCUUUCGCAACCGCCGGUCCCUGAGAUCGUCCCAUCAGCUGCUCAACAACCUGCAGCCGGGUGCAAUUUCCACAAUCCAGCCAUGGAGCCUGGGGCAGCAGACCGAGCAGCCCCUUUCGCGAAGACACCCCCACCACCCGCGUCCAAGAAUGGUAACCAAAGCGCAGAGAAGGCGGCAGGAGGGUGGAGACCCCAGCCAAGGAAACAACAAAAAGUCUCUCCUUCCCCCUUUCUUCUGCUACACAGCCAUGGAGAAGGGGAAGGGGGUGGGGUGGGGGGAGAAGAACCAAAUGCUUGUCUUCCUUUACGUUCCUCGCUUCACACACACUAAGGGGGUAAAAACGGAGCAAAAAGAGUGGAGGGUUCAAAUGUCUCUCCGAGUCCACAGUUGCACAACUUCGGAGUC